UUUCCGAUGCCACCCAAUCCUU
rnacentral:miRNA from 1 species